rnacentral:rRNA from 1 species
UACCAGCACCCCGAGUGGUCGGGACGUUUUAUUGGGCCUAAAGCAUCCGUAGCCGGUCCUGCAAGUCUUCCGUUAAAUCCAGCUGCUCAACAGAUGGGCUGCGGAGGAUACUACAGGGCUAGGAGGCGGGAGAGGCAAGCGGUACUUUAUGGGUAGGGGUAAAAUCCGUUGAUCCAUAGAAGACCACCAGUGGCGAAGGCGGCUUGCCAGAACGCGCUCGACGGUGAGGGAUGAAAGCUGGGGGAGCAAACCGG